UGAUGAUGUGUCUGGCAUGAAAAUUGUCUUCGGCAUUGCAAGGGGGGUUCCUCCACCGAAUACUUCAAAGCAUCUGAACCGAAGGGCUAUAUUCGGCCCUUACAUCUUCGGUCUUGGUAAGGUGAAUUCUUCGAACAACUCGUUUUUACAUUAAAUCUCAUACCCUUCGGUUUCUGUGCUUCCGUCGCCUCAGCUUACACAUGGCAAACGAAUACGAAGGGUCCAACCAUUUUUACAGAUAACCCCCCCGAAAGGUCAUUUUGUGUAGAUUUAAUAGUCAUGUACCAGUAGCCCCGAGACUUGAAAACAGUUGAAGCAACCGAUUUUAAGGAUCGAUGUAUAAUCAGGUACUUACGGAGAAGAACAACAUGCUAUCUCGGGAGCUGGAACAGUGUCGGACCCAGCUGACUACUGUUACCGCCAAACUGGAGAAGUCCAAGGAGGCACCGACUGGAUAGUCGGAUCAGCUGGAAGAGAAACUAAAAGCCGCGCAGGCGGAUAAAGAACAUGCCGAAAGGCAAGAGGCUGCUGGUCAACGUGUACUGACACGGACCAGGGACGAGAAGAACAAGCUGCAGGAUGCCAACAUCCAGCUCGGCGAAGAGCUGAAAGACGUGCGAGCCCAACUGGCGGACGCCUUGAAGGAGAACAGAAAGCUGAGAGGCGGCAUAUUCAGUGUGUUGACUGGGUGGCCCGAAGAAGAGGUGUCCGGAUUUCAAGGCGACCUGCUACAAGAGCUGUCGAAGGUGCAUGAGCGAGCGUGGAAGGCAAUGAGAAACAUCGCUAAGGCUUUAUGUCCAACCGAUUCUCCUCCAGGAAGUAUGGAGGAAUGCGUGAAUUUAUUCAAAGAAGCUCGGCGCUGUUUUGGGCUAUGGAAGAUAUCGGCAUGCCGAGAAGGCACUCGGGAAGCCUGGGCCAUGGUAAAACACGGUACACCGGACUUGAUCCAAAUAAUAUGGCGCGGGUCAGACCUCGAGGAUCCGAUGGACAGGAAAUUCCGGUCAACCUGGUGUACGACCAAGUGAAGGUGGCCACCAAGUUUUCGCAACAGGAUUGUAAACUAGACAACCUGUUAGAGGGUCUAGAGGAAGAAGAAGUUUUUGAGUCCAAGUAGAAAUGUACUUUUAUCGACAAACUUGUCUCCAGCCGAAUUUGUAAAAUGAUUGUCAUGGCAGACUUUCUGCUUCGACCUCCGAA